AACCCAUGAUGGGGGAACCUUCUCAAUAAAUCCUUAUACCUCUCUCAUGCAUUAUAUAGGGUCUCUAAGUUGAUAUGAACGAAGGAAGAGAUAUCAUUCCUUAACUU
rfam:Gossypium hirsutum cultivar TM-1 chromosome 12, whole genome shotgun sequence